rnacentral:rRNA from 1 species
AUGGAGAAUAACCACCACCGGCAGGGACCGACGUCCACGCCGGCGACGAGGAGCAGGACACGGCGGGACCCCGCCCAGGACCACCUCUACCGGGUGCCGCCGCAGGACUUCGCCCUCACCGUGCAGAGGCUCACCGGCGCCGCCCCUCCGCGCACGCCGCCUCCUCGUCCUCCUGAUCGGGAUGAUCGGCAGCCAUCCCCGGCAGCGCCGCUGCCGCCGCCAGCAUUGUCCAUGCAGGAGGCCUACCUGGACUGGUGCGCCUCCAACUGCGUCGUUCUCAGCCCCGGGACGAUGGCCGAGAUUGACCGCGCCGCCCGAUUUAACUCAGGGGUAAACAAUAAUAAUUGUAGUUAA